AGGGAAUCUUCGGCAAUGGACGGAAGUCUGACCGAGCAACGCCGCGUGAGUGAAGAAGGUUUUCGGAUCGUAAAGCUCUGUUGUAAGAGAAGAACGAGUGUGAGAGUGGAAAGUUCACACUGUGACGGUAACUUACCAGAAAGGGACGGCUAACUACGUGCCAGCAGCCGCGGUAAUACGUAGGUCCCGAGCGUUAUCCGGAUUUAUUGGGCGUAAAGCGAGCGCAGGCGGUUAGAUAAGUCUGAAGUUAAAGGCUGUGGCUUAACCAUAGUACGCUUUGGAAACUGUUUAACUUGAGUGCAGAAGGGGAGAGUGGAAUUCCAUGUGUAGCGGUGAAGUGCGUAGAUAUAUGGAGGAACACCGGUGGCGAAAGCGGCUCUCUGGUCUGUAACUGACGCUGAGGCUCGAAAGCGUGGGGAGCAAACAGGAUUAGAUACCCUGGUAGUCCACGCCGUAAACGAUGAGUGCUAGGUGUUGGGUCCUUUCCGGGACUCAGUGCCGCAGCUAACGCAUUAAGCACUCCGCCUGGGGAGUACGACCGCAAGGUUG
rnacentral:rRNA from 1 species